GCAGGGCACUCCUACGGGAGGCAGCAGUGGGGAAUAUUGCACAAUGGGCGCAAGCCUGAUGCAGCCAUGCCGCGUGUAUUGAAGAAGGCCUUCGGGUUGUAAAGUACUUUCAGCAGUGAGGAAGGUGGGUAUGUUAAUAGCAUACUCUAUUUGACGUUAGCUGCAGAAGAAGCACCGGCUAACUCCGUGCCAGCAGCCGCGGUAAUACGGGAGGGUGCGAGUCGUUAAUCGGAAUUACUGGGACGUAAAGCGCAUGCAGGUGGUUUGUUAAGUCAGAUGUAGAAACGGCCCCGGGGCUACAACCUACGGAAUUGCUAUUUAGAAACUGGACAAACUAGAGUACUGUAGAGGGGGUAGAAUUUCAGGUGUAGCGGUGAAAUGCGUAGAGAUCUGAAGGAAUACCGGUGGCGAAGGCGGCCCCCUGGACAGAUACUGACACUCAGAUGCGAAAGCGUGGGGAGCAAACAGGAUUAGAUACCCUGGUAG
rnacentral:rRNA from 1 species